AGUGAACGCUGGCGGUAUGCCUAACACAUGCAAGUCGAACGGCAGCACAGUAAGAGCUUGCUCUUACGGGUGGCGAGUGGCGGACGGGUGAGGAAUACAUCGGAAUCUACUUUUUCGUGGGGGAUAACGUAGGGAAACUUACGCUAAUACCGCAUACGACCUACGGGUUAAAGCAGGGGAUCUUCGGACCUUGCGCGAUUGAAUGAGCCGAUGUCGGAUUAGCUAGUUGGCGGGGUAAAGGCCCACCAAGGCGACGAUCCGUAGCUGGUCUGAGAGGAUGAUCAGCCACACUGGAACUGAGACACGGUCCAGACUCCUACGGGAGGCAGCAGUGGGGAAUAUUGGGCAAUGGGCGCAAGCCUGAUCCAGCCAUACCGCGUGGGUGAAGAAGGCCUUCGGGUUGUAAAGCCCUUUUGUUGGGAAAGAAAAGCAGCAGGUUAAUACCCCGCUGUUCUGACGGUACCCAAAGAAUAAGCACCGGCUAACUUCGUG
rnacentral:rRNA from 1 species